UACGGAGGGUGCAAGCGUUAAUCGGAAUUACUGGGCGUAAAGCGUGCGCAGGCGGUUUGUUAAGUCUGCUGUGAAAUCCCCGAGCUCAACUUGGGAAUUGCAGUGGAUACUGGCAAGCUGGAGUACGGUAGAGGAAGGUGGAAUUCCCGGUGUAGCAGUGAAAUGCGUAGAGAUCGGGAGGGACACCAGUGGCGAAGGCGGCCUUCUGGACCAGUACUGACGCUCAUGCACGAAAGCGUGGGGAGCAAACAGG
rnacentral:rRNA from 1 species